rnacentral:rRNA from 1 species
AUGAUGGAGCUGGUGCUUCGUCCAUUGCAUAAGCUUGAGGACUCUUUGUGUUUGUGGUUGGCACGUGCAACCAGCUUCUUGGAGCGGGCGGAGGCAUCAGUUGGUCUGCAGGGGUCGUUGCCGCUCACGCAGGCAGCGCUGGUGGCAGACCAUAGGGACCAAGGUACUGAGGACAUUGGCAACACCAUGCAGCCGCUGACCUUGGGGUUAGUUGCUCUGGUGGUGGCCACUGAGAUCAGCCUAGCUAGUUCUAUCUCCGACGAAGUACAGGCUGUUGCAAAGGGAUGCACUUUCGCGAUUGAUGAAGGUGGCACUUUGCAUGACUUAACCGAGCUGAUCAAAUGCCUCAUUGCCAUGCCUGCGAUCACCCAGGGAUUGACUCGCCUUGUCAAAGUGGAGAAGAUCAAGAAUGCCAACCAGGUGGUAUGUGCCGCCGUGAGGGACAACGCUGCAAGAUGUUAA